rnacentral:lncRNA from 1 species
UACCCCAGGCUGCAGGCAGCGCUAAACCGCAGCCCCACCGGGGCUGCCCAAAAGUUGCUAUUUAAAGACAAAGUAUAAAGGAAUUUAGAAGAUGGAAAUGGGAAUAGGAGAGCUAGCACAGCCCUCAGAGAAGACAUGCUCAAAAAUAGUGAUAGGCACAGAGGCUAGCGGCUAAUUGUGGAGCCCAGCAAACGAGGUCCAGUCUGUGAUGAGGUAAAAACGGAAAGAAAACCUGGGUAGAAACAAAUUGUGAGAAAGGGUAAUGGAACCUCCAUGCAUUCAGUGCCUACAAAAUGCCAGGCACAGUGGAUUUACAUACAUCUCGAUAUCCUUGUAAUGACUAAAUAGAUGAGGUUCAUUCCUGUUCACAGUUGAAUUAAGGCUUAAAGAGUAACUUAGGUCACAUACUACCUAGUGAAUAUGGGUCAGGAUUUAAAAUUUAAGCUGACUCUAGAACUUUAUACCCUGCCACACCAUAUUCCUCAGAUGUCCAUAAAAGUAAGGUUUCUAAGCCAGUGUGUGGUUCUCUUUUACAACCUAGAGAGGCAUAUAAGUGAAGAUGUGAGAUUCUUUCUGUAAUGAACUGUAUGCACCCCAAUUUGACACCACAAGGCUCAUGGGAAGCCUGUGGUCUCUGUGUCCAAGGGUGGUUCCUUGAAUCCAUGCAAUUUAUUGUCUCAGUAUCUUUGUUUAUGCUUUCUGUUGUGUCAGGAAUCUUUUUCUACUUUUCCUGGUGAAUUCCUGCCCAGAUCAGGUAUCAGCUCUCCCUGGAAGCCUUUCUGGAACUUUCUGGAACUCCCACCCACUCCCCUACCCUCAAAGACAUUUGUACUGCUAUCAUUUGUGCAUAUGUCUAUCAUUGCACCUACUACAUUGGAUUUUGAAUUGCAGUAGCCCAUCCAUAUCUCUGUCUUCCCCAAGAUAUAAGUUCUUUCAGGACAGGAAAUGAUCUUUCCAGUAGCAGAGUGCCUCAGUCAUGGUAGCCACUCAGUUAUUGUAUGAGUGUUUUUGGCUAAAGACAGUGCUGACCUUUUCUCUAAUCAAAUUGAUCUAUUAAUUAAGAGUUUACAUGUGUCUAGAAGCGCCUGACUGGCUCAGUCAGUAGAGUGGGUGACCCUUGAUCUCGGGGUCAUGAGUUUGAGCCCCACAUUGGGUAUAGUGUUUAUUUAAAAAUUAAAAUUAAAAAAAAUAAAAAUUAAAAAAAUUUAAAUUUAAAAAGUGUACAUUUUUAGAAUUCUUGCACCCUGGUGUUUUCUUGGUUGUUAAUUUUCAGGCUUUUAGAUUCUUUUCCUUAAUUAGUUCACACUUUUUUGGAAGUAUAUUUUGCUAGUCAGUUGACUUUUUUAUCCUUUAAAGAUUCAUUAUUUCUUUGCUUUAAUUGGAGUUAUCAAAAUUACCUACCUUUUGGUAUCACUGAAUUCUUUCAUGUGUACUUCACCAUUUUGCUUUAGUUUCUAUAGAACCCACUGGCAGAGUAGAUGACCAGCCAAGUAGGUGAUUCCCUAUGUAGGUGUUAUAUGGAGGGCCUUUUAUUGAAUUGCAGAUUCCUAUUCUAGGAAUAACAUUUUGUCCAUUUAUUCAAGAAAUAUUACCUAUCAUUAUCCAAGCACUAUUGCAAUUCCUAGGAUUAUCCAGUCUCUGCCUUCAUAUACCUCAUUGUGCAGUAUGGGAGACAGAAAAAAACAACUUGGAAUUUUACCACUGAUGACUUCUAGUGAGAAAUGCAAGUGUUCAGGAGUUGCUUCAGGAGCAUGGAGAGGCUGGUGAUCAGAAGGCUACAUAUGAAUUAGGAACAUACAAGAAGUGGGUAAAGGAUCUUCUUGACAGAAGAAAUAAAUAGCAUUUGCAAAGUAGAAACAGGAUAAUCCUUUGUACAUUGUACAUUGAAUUAGAUCCACACACUUCUCAACCCAGAUCUCAGAAUUAGACACAUGUUGGAAUUGGGGAGGGGUAGAGCAUCAGGUCACUGAGAAUCUGCAGCAAGGGAAAAGAGGUGAUCAUGACCCCCAUUUCUUAAAAAAGAUUUUAUUUAUUUAUUCGUGAGAGACACAGAGAGAGAGAGAGGCAGAAACAUAGGCAGAGGGAGAAGCAAGCUCCAUGCAGGAAGCCCGAUGUGGGACUUGAUCCCGGGACCCCGAGAUCACACCAAAGCCUAAGGCAUGCACUAAACCCCUGAGCUACCCAAGUGUCCCCAUGACCCCUAUUUUUGACAGUUUUGAGUACAGUUACACAUGGAUUUGUAGAAGAAAGAUACAUUCCUAUACUCUGUGAGUUUAAAAUCUAAUUUUACGCAUACUUUGAAAACUAGACACAAAUUAUUUAGUUCUACCUCUGUGAAGAUAGGCCAGCACAAGCACUUUAGGCUUACUGUGCACUGCUGUUACCGUGUAGACUUACCGUUUAUCUUGAUACGGAAAUGUUUAUUUGGAAAACAGUUUGGAGCCUAGUUGAGGCUAAAACCUGAGUACUUUCUCAUGUAUUUGUCAGUGUGUUAAAAAUUUAAAAAGCAGGGGUGCCUGACUAGCUCCGUUGGUGAAGCAUGCAACUCUUGAUCUGGAGUCCUGAGUUCUAGUCCAAUGGUGGUGUAGAGAUUACUAAGAAAAAAUAAAUAAACUUAAAUAUAUAUGUAUGUACAUAUUUUUAUAUAAAAUAUAUAUUAUAUAAAUAUACAUUUAUGCUUUAUAUAUGCCUAUAUAAUAUAUAAAUUAUAUAAUGUAUAAAAUAUAUAAAUAUGUAAAAUUUUUACAAGAGUAUAAAUAUGUAUAAUUUAUAUAUUUUGUAUGUAAUUUUAUAUGUAAUUUUAUAUAUAGUAUAUAAAAUAUAUACAUAUGUAUAUAUAUAAGCAGUGAAUACUUAAGGGGAAUUUAAAAAUUGAGGAAGUCUUUGUUUUUUAAUUUGCAACUAGGUGUGACAUUUACAGAUUUUUUUUUCCUAACACAUUCAUUCUCAUUCUCUUUUAUGAGAUUUAUUUAAAUUACUUCUAUACUGUGUAGAUGAGGAAAUUGAGACACAGAUCUGGCUUAGGUCACAUAGCAAAGGAUUGGAAGUCAUAAACAGGAAUUCAGACCUGGUAUUCUAUCCAGCAGUCUUUUGCUGGCUUAUACUGCUUAAAGAUAACUGUGUUUUCUAUUUUGGUUUCAAAUGUUUUCUCUUAGCUUUUGUUUUUUCUUAUAAAGAAAAUAAUACAAAAAAAAAAAAGAAAAUAAUACAUAGUCAUCAUAAAAAUUUCAGAAAAUGUAGAAAAGAAUGAAGAGUGUAAAGCUAUAUUCCUCUGUAUAUGUAUUAUCUAUAUUCCCAAUGCCUAGAAAUCACUGCUAAUAUUUUAGUAUAUCUAUUUUCAAACUUGUUUAAAUUUAUAUAUAUAUACACACACACAGAGAUAUAUUUAGAUAGUUUCUUUUUCAAGGUUUUAUUUUUAUUUAUUUGAGAAAGAGUGCUUGGGUGCCAGCAGGGGGAGGAGCAGAGGGAGAGGGACAAGCAGACUGUGCUGAGCACAAAGCCCUAGAGAGGGCUCCAUCCCACCAUCCCAAGAUCAUGACCUGAGCCAAAAUCAAGAGUUGGAUGCCUAACCAACUGAGCCACCCAGGUGCCCCUAGAUAGUUUUUUUUUUUUUUUUUUAAUGAAAUCACAGAUAUAUUGUAGGUAGGGUUUUUUUUGUUUGUUUCAGUAAAAUCAAACUGCCUAAUUUUGUAAAAUUUCAUCUCAAAUAUAAUUUAAUGUCAAAUAUCUGCAUCAUAAUUUUAGUUGCUUCCUAGAAUUGUACUGUGUGAAUUAUUUGGUUAGACUCCUAUAGACAGACUUUUAGGUUUCCAGUUUUUUUUUCUAUUAUAAAAAAUGUGUUGAUAAGAUCCUUAAUAUAUGCAUCUUUUUACCCUUUUCUGAUUAUCUUGUUAAGAAAAAUGUUCAGG